rnacentral:lncRNA from 1 species
UGAUUAGCUAUUGGAACGAGAAUGAGGACGAUGAACCUGGUCAGUAGGGACCCAUGGAUCUCCAUCUCUUCCUCUCCCGAUCUCCCUAUGUUUGGUGGAGAGGAAAGUCAGACAAAGAUGAUCCUGUUGUAGCCUCCUUUUCUGAUAUAGGGGAGUGAUAAAAAGUUCCAUCCUUCAUGAAUGCAUCAAUUAUCGUCCAGUCUAGUUGUCGGGGUUCAUCUGGCAGUUCAUUCGCCUCUUUUUCGGUAUGAUAAACUACAAGCUCUCAGGUCGAUGGAUCUUCUCAACUGGAGGAUCCCCUAUAUGGAUAAUAUAUGGAUAAUACACAUUCCAGUUGACCGAGCCUAAUUCUAUUCUAAUUGUUUUGUUCUGAAGCAAAGAUAUCCACGGGGCGGUUCGCCCUAUUCAGAUAUUCACGACCGAGAAGUACUUCUUACCACUAUGGAAGGUGUAAUCACCAUCAUUCAGAAUAUGAUAAUCAAACAAAUCGAACUUUGUAUGUGAAUAAUCUUUAUCGCAC